rnacentral:scRNA from 1 species
CCGUUACGCCGACCGCCGAGUUUCGGCAAAAU